rnacentral:miRNA from 14 species
CAAUAGCAAUCUGCUUUUCCCGUGUUGGAGGCUAGAAGACCAAGAUCAAGGUGCUGGCAAGGUUACUUUCUCCUGAAGCCUUUCAAUGUGUCUGGCAGAUUACCACUUUCUGUGUCUUUAUC